rnacentral:rRNA from 1 species
GACGAACGCUGGCGGCGUGCUUAACACAUGCAAGUCGAACGAUGAAGCCGGAGCUUGCUCUGGUGAAUUAGUGGCGAACGGGUGAGUAACACGUGAGUAACCUGCCCUUGACUCUGGGAUAACUGCGGGAAACUGUAGCUAAUACCGGAUACGACCCUCGGAGGCAUCUCCUGGGGGUGGAAAGAAUUUCGGUCAAGGAUGGACUCGCGGCCUAUCAGCUAGUUGGUGAGGUAACGGCUCACCAAGGCGACGACGGGUAGCCGGCCUGAGAGGGUGACCGGCCACACUGGGACUGAGACACGGCCCAGACUCCUACGGGAGGCAGCAGUGGGGAAUAUUGCACAAUGGGCGCAAGCCUGAUGCAGCAACGCCGCGUGAGGGAUGACGGCCUUCGGGUUGUAAACCUCUUCUAGCAGGGAAGAAGCGAAAGUGACGGUACCUGCAGAAAAAGCACCGGCUAACUACGUGCCAGCAGCCGCCGCGG